rnacentral:lncRNA from 1 species
CUGAUUCUCCCUUUCUUCUUCAGUGCAAAACACGAAGAGAUGAUUGAGCCAACGGUAAACCCCUCUCCACUAUCUCUCUUCCUCCACCUCUUCCUUCUUCUUCAUCUUCUUCUCCAAAACCCACAUAGACAAAACAACCACCACAACCUCCUUCCGCUUGAUUUCCGAUCCCUCCAUCUCUCCUUCUCCGGCAGGUUUUCCCACCACACAAUCGCCAUAGCCAUAAAGGAAGCCACAGAAGUAAACAUUCAUUUUUUUUCAUCCCCAAUUUUAUGUACGCUAACUCGAUCCCCCCUUUGCAAAUCAGAAAUCUUCUUCUAACGACUCAUCCCCCAGAUUUCCCAGUCUCGCAUCGCGAAAGUUUCUCUUCUCCGUUUCUUGGUUAUCGCCGCCCUAUCCUUAUCCGUCUCCGGAGACGGCAUCAAUUGUAGUGUCCCAAUAAGCCAGGGAAUAACCACCACCACC